rnacentral:rRNA from 1 species
GCAUAACGCGAAGAACCUUACCAGGCCUUGACAUGCAGAGAACUUUCCAGAGAUGGAUUGGUGCCUUCGGGAACUCUGAGACAGGUGCUGCAUGGCUGUCGUCAGCUCGUGUUGUGAAAUGUUGGGUUAAGUCCCGCAACGAGCGCAACCCUUAUCCUUUGUUGCCAGCGGUUCGGCCGGGAACUCAAAGGAGACUGCCAGUGAUAAACUGGAGGAAGGUGGGGAUGACGUCAAGUCAUCAUGGCCCUUACGAGUAGGGCUACACACGUGCUACAAUGGCAUAUACAAAGAGAAGCGACCUCGCGAGAGCAAGCGGACCUCAUAAAGUAUGUCGUAGUCCGGAUUGGAGUCUGCAACUCGACUCCAUGAAGUCGGAAUCGCUAGUAAUCGUAGAUCAGAAUGCUACGGUGAAUACGUUCCCGGGUCUUGUACACACCG